rnacentral:rRNA from 1 species
AUACACCUGUUCCCAUGUCGAACACAGAAGUUAAGCUUCUUAGCGCCGAUGGUAGUUGGGGGUUUCCCCCUGUGAGAGUAGGACGUUGCCACGC